GUGGGGAAUCUUGCGCAAUGGGCGAAAGCCUGACGCAGCAACGCCGCGUGCGGGAUGAAGGCCUUCGGGUUGUAAACCGCUUUCAGCAGGGAAGAAAUUGACGGUACCUGCAGAAGAAGCCCCGGCCAACUACGUGCCAGCAGCCGCGGUAACACGUAGGGGGCGAGCGUUGUCCGGAUUUAUUGGGCGUAAAGAGCUCGUAGGCGGUUCGCUAAGUCGGGUGUGAAACCUCCAGGCUCAACCUGGAGACGCCACCUGAUACUGGUGUGACUAGAGUCCGGUAGGGGAGUGUGGAACUCCUGGUGUAGCGGUGAAAUGCGCAGAUAUCAGGAAGAACACCAGCGGCGAAGGCGGCACUCUGGGCCGGUACUGACGCUGAGGAGCGAAAGCGUGGGUAGCAAACAGGAUUAGAUACCCCAGUAGUCC
rnacentral:rRNA from 1 species